rnacentral:rRNA from 1 species
GGGGGGGGGGGGGGGCGGGGGGAGGGCGUGGGGGGCGAAGGGAGAGGGGCCGGGUUGCUGGCGUGCUGGGGGGGGGAGCGGGUGAGGAAACCGUGGGUGAUGUGCCCUGGACUUCGGGUUAAGCCGGGGAGACUGGGGCUCCUCGCGGAUCGGCCCGCACUUGGGUUGGUUUGGUUGAAAGGUUUUUCUUGUGUGGGAUGGGCGUGCGGCCUAUCAGUUUGUUGGUGUGGUAACUGCCUACCACGCCGGCGACGGAGAGCCGGCCUGCGAGGGUGGAAGGUCACAGUGGGACUGAGAUACGGCCCAGACUCCUACUGGAGGCAGCAGUGGGGAAGAUGGCACAAGGGGGGAAACCCUGAUGCAGCGACGCCGCGGGGGGGAUGAAGGCCUUCGGGUUGUAAACUCCGGUCGCUAGGGACGAAGCUUUUUGUGACGGUACCUGGAGAAGAAGCACCGGCUAACUACGUG